AUUGAACGCUGGCGGAAUGCUUUACACAUGCAAGUCGAGCGGCAGCGCGGGGCAACCUGGCGGCGAGCGGCGAACGGGUGAGUAAUGCAUCGGAACAUGUCCAUGUCGUGGGGGAUAGCCCGGCGAAAGCCGGAUUAAUACCGCAUACGCCCGAGAGGGGAAAGUGGGGACCGCAAGGCCUCACGCGAUUGGGUUGGCCGAUGUCCGAUUAGCUAGUUGGCGGGGUAAGAGCCCACCAAGGCGAUGAUCGGUAGCUGGUCUGAGAGGAUGAUCAGCCACACUGGGACUGAGACACGGCCCAGACUCCUACGGGAGGCAGCAGUGGGAAUUUUGGACAAUGGGGGCAACCCUGAUCCAGCCAUUCCGCGUGAGUGAAGAAGGCC
rnacentral:rRNA from 1 species